rnacentral:rRNA from 1 species
GACGAACGCUGGCGGCGUGCUUAACACAUGCAAGUCGAACGGUAAGGCCCUUCGGGGUACACGAGUGGCGAACGGGUGAGUAACACGUGGGUGAUCUGCCCUGCACUUCGGGAUAAGCCUGGGAAACUGGGUCUAAUACCGGAUAGGACUCCUGGCUUCAUGGUUGGGGGUGGAAAGCUUUUGCGGUGUGGGAUGGGCCCGCGGCCUAUCAGCUUGUUGGUGGGGUAAUGGCCUACCAAGGCGACGACGGGUAGCCGGCCUGAGAGGGUGACCGGUCACACUGGGACUGAGAUACGGCCCAGACUCCUACGGGGGGAAGCAGUGGGGAAUAUUGCACAAUGGGCGCAAGCCUGAUGCAGCGGCGCCGCGUGGGGGAUGACGGCCUUCGGGUUGUAAACCUCUUUCAGCUAUGACGAAGCGCAAGUGACGGUAGUAGCAGAAGAAGGACCGGCCAACUACGUGCCAGCAGCCGCGGUAA